GAAGCGGUUAUAGCCGGCCCUGCUGUCACGACCGGCGUAUCCGCACAGUGUUCGCUUGGUUUUCGGGGAGCCUUCGAGCACAUUGUAACCACAGCAGCACUGCGGAAUAAAAUAGGAGCAGUGAGUCUGACCUUUAAAAUAGCCCCCUCCGUGUUUCCAUGUAUCCGUCCUACAAAUCACUGCCACGUUAGAAAUCGAGCUCUCAAUUCAAGGAAGCAUUCGAGCAUGUGCUCAACGCCCAUUGACUUCAAUUUUGUCAUGCACGUAUGUCUUCUUUGCCAGAAGGAAAAGCAAAGGAAGGGCGUGCUUCUUUCCUGGAAAGCGACACCAGAGAAAUGACCCCGGGAGCGUGUUCUAACUGAGCAUGUAUGCACAUGGUUAAGUGCUUCUCUGACUAGGGACACCUGCCUCAGGACUGGGAAACUGGAAUUAGCCACCUCGGGAAUUGAAUCCUGCAAUAUUUCCAGAUUGGAGGUUAGCCCUGCAGUCCUAAUUUGCCUUAUUGUACCUCUAUUUUAUGAGCCUCUGUACCUCUGUCAUUGUACGGGAUGCACGUGUUUACUCAGUGAGCAGAUACUCGGUAUUUUGCUGUUUUUCCCCUCAGUGUUCAGGCCUGAGCUCAGCCCUUAAUUACCGAUCAGUUCUGAUCAAUGCUGUUCAAUGCCUGUCUGCGUGCAAUGGCAGAAGAGCCUGCGUGAGUAAUUCAGAGCAGACAACUGCCUCCCACGCUGCUAAAAUGCAUGAGAUGAGUCUCACUCUGUGGAAAGUGUGGCUCGAGGCUCUGCAGCUGGAGGACUCGGAGAAUCCACUCGCCUCGCACCUGCACUACUCAGUGAAUUUCUCUGGGGUCACUCGCUUGGCAUCUUACAGCCUCUGCAGAGGAUGAGGUGGCUUUGGCAGCCACACGCCUCUUCUCUUAUGUCCUCAGCUCAGCACAGCUUCCCUCUCAGCACUCAUGUCCACACCUCGUCUCAGGGCUUCCAGUUUUCAUCAUGGUCCAAUUUCUUCCUCAGCUCCCUGAGUAUAGGGAGGUGAUAGCAGUUUGGGAAAGCCCUCACCUAGGUCUUGCUGGCACUGCAAAGUAACCCUGACGUUCUCCCUCAAAGUGAUGGGACCAUCCAAGCUGCAUGUGGGAUCCUCAGCCGGACGUAGUGGAGAGUUUGGGACAAAACGGUCAGCAUUUGGCAGAAUUAUGACCGUCUGAAGGUACGAUCUGCAACAGCAAAUACCAAACGUUGUUAAUAAUAGGCAGGGGUGCUUGCCACACUUGUAAUCAUGGUUGUUGCCCAGCCACUUAGCAUUUUUAAAAGUUGGUGAUUUAGGGGUAUAACGUGACCUCGACAAAAAUGAGUUGUUUCUGAGAUCCAUCUCAAAUGCCAGGAGGCAGUGUGAUGUGAGAAAACCUGCAAUUUUAUUGCAGCUUCUCAAAGACAAGGGGACAAAAAGGGAAAUGAAAAGUGGAGAUAUAAAUAGAAGCAUAGAGGACUGCCUUUUUGGGAGCGAGGGAGAACGUCUUGGGGGGAAGAGAAAAGGUCUUUUCUGCCAGAAAAUAUGGCUAAUCUACGUAUUUGCAUAUAUGUAUGGAGAGUACAUGUGUUAAACUCUAGAG